AUAGAGGCCAGGCAGUUCUGCCCCAUGUUUGACACCAGAACUGCUGCCCAAAGGAACGGGCAGGACCAGUAAGAAGAGCAUAUCCUGGUGCAACUACACUGUCCUUGACAUGUGGAGCUACCAGCAAUGGGCUGCUGUGCAGAGGAAACACUGGAUGUUUAACAGGAUGCAGCUGAGUUUGAUGCUGGUGCUUGACUGCUUCCUAGUGCCAGCAGUGAAACUGAGGAACCUGAGUCGACUUCACAGA